AUGCCAUGUUGAGGACAUUUUUUGAGCAUCCCCUUAAAUCUAUCCCAUGCAUCAUACAAUUGCUUGGACAUCAUCUGUCUAAAUUGAGUAAACUCAACCCUUAGUUG